UGUCAUUCAAAAUUCAAAUGCUAUAGCAAUUUAAUAUGCACCAUUGUCUUAGACACUUUCUUCAUUGCUGGGACAACAUAUCUGACACCUACAACUUAAAGGAAGAGAAGAUUAUUUUGGCUAAUGCUUUCUGCCCAUGGUAUGCUGGCUCUAAGGCAGAAAGGCAGGGGCAGAGCGGAGGAAAGCUCCUCCCAUCACGGCAGCCAAGAAGCGAGCGGAAGUGACCAGGAAGAGAAAUAAAACCUUCCGGGUCACAACCCCAGUCUCCUACCUCUUAAGACCAGGUCCCACCUCCUACCGGGCCUUGAAAGCUAUCAGAUGGAUAAGAGGUGCUCAGUGAAUGUCCCUGGGAUGUUAUGAAAGAACGCAAUGUUACCGGCACCUGGGUGUGCGUUGGAUGCCAGGAGAGGAGGCAGCCAGUGCACUGAUUUUGGGUUUCUCAGUCCAAAGGCAAAGAAAGAUCAUCUUCCUACACAGCUAAGAAGCAGCACAUGGAUUAGAAAAAAAAGUCCAAGCUGGAAUCCAACCUGGGCCUGAAUUCUGCUUUUUUGUUGUUGUUUGUUUUUUGAGGCAAGGUCUCGUUAUGUAGUCCAGGCUGGCCUUGAACUCACUAUGUAGCCCAGGCUGGCCUAGGACUCACAGCGAUCCUUUUGCCUCAGCCUCCCAAUCGCUAGGUUUACAGGAGUGUGCCACCAUGCUUGUUCAUCUUUCUUCACCAUAGGCACCCCCUGCUGGAAUCCCUCCCACUUGCCAUUUCCUUAGGGACACAGGAUAAAGAGAAGAGAGAAGGCA